rnacentral:lncRNA from 1 species
UCGGGUCAAUUUGAGCCUACAAAAUUAAUGAAGAAUAAGGAUGGCAAUAGAUAUACAAAUAUAAGUUACAACAGCAGCAGACAAGUACUGCAAAAUAAUUUCCUUUCCAAAAUGAAUCAAGAAAAGCAUCUUCCUAACCCAAUUUCAAAAUCUAGAACAAUAAUUACAUUUUAAUUAUAUGUGGCUUUAAUUUCAAAUAAGCUUUAUAAAUUAACCAACCCAAUAAAUUCUAUUGAAUUGUCGAUGAUAAACACAUUAUUAGAUGGAUGCAACACCAAAUCUAUAUCAUUAAACAAAACGAUUAUUUAGAUAAUUACCUUUCAAAUCAAUCUUAAUUUUGCAACAGCUACAACUAAACCAGCUAUGAGCGAAAACAACUGUAGAACAUAAUUUAAAACCAAGCAUGCUAUCAAUCCAAACUAGCUAAUAAAAAAAUUGAAAUCAGUAAGGAAAAAAUUAUACCACUCAAACUUCGAGCAAAUCUGGAUCCAAGACUAGCUAGUUGCAGUCUUACAGAGACCAAAAUGCUUAAAAUUACUGGUAUUGUUGAUUUAGACAGUUAUAAAAUCAUAAAAUAAUGAAAAUCAUACAGACCAAAUAAGCUAGAUUCAUUAUUUAAUUAAUGAAAUCACAUGCCUUUGAUCUUUAACUACCCAUCUGAGAUCCCAAACUUAAAUCAAUCAGCAGAAAUUAGAACAUUUAAUAAUUUGGGUUUCAAAGAAUUAAGAAUAUCCCAACAGAAUCAUCAAUUAAUUGCAAUAAGAGUACCUGUUCAGCAUAAAUGGCUUAUUAGUCGUGUCGCCGGCAGCCAAAAAUUGGGAUUUUGGUUCAAGAAAUUUCUAAAUCGACGCUAAAUAGAAACGUAAUAAUCCACUUAGAGACAAAAUCAAAUGAACAAACAUCAGUUCUGCGAAUAUUGAAAUUAGAAACUAAUUUGACUCUAGAAUUACAGGUUAAAAAAUAGGAUGCAUAGUAAUUUCUCCCAUUUCCUCCGUACACCUUCUUAGCCAACUUGGAUGUCUAAUCAAUCUCCAUCCCUCUCUGUAUUUUUUACUUUUAUCUCUCUUCUUUUUUCUCUUUCUCUCUAAUCCUGCGCAAGAAAAAACCCAAUAUCACAAAAAUUUGAUUACAAUACUUUUAGGACUGCAUUAUUUAUACAGCGCGAUGAUUGUAUGUUGGAUAAGAUUAAAAAACUGAAAGGUUUAUCCAAUCGGGAUUAUGAGGAUAAAUUUUAUUCCGAAUCAAGAAAAAAACAGCAAAGUACGUUAAUUUGUUAGAGAUUUAGAUAAAAAAGGAUGAUUUCUGUAACCUGCGAGUACAAAGCAACUGCUACUCUGUUCGUCAAUAUUUGCUACUAUGUUCGUCUCUCUCUCUCGUACAGAAUGAGGAAGAAC